UACGUAGGUGACAAGCGUUGUCCGGAUUUACUGGGCGUAAAGAGCGCGCAGGCGGUCGUUCAAGUCGAGUGUGAAAGCCCCCGGCUCAACCGGGGAGAGUCGUCGGGGACCGCACCGCUUGAGGGCGGUAGGGGCCGGUGGAAUGCCUGGUGUAGUGGUGAAAUGCGUAGAGAUCAGGCAGAACACCUGGGGCGAAGGCGGCCGGCUGGGCCGUCCCUGACGCUGAGGCGCGAAGGCGUGGGGAGCGAACGGG
rnacentral:rRNA from 1 species